UACGGGGGGGGCAAGCGUUGUUCGGAUUUACUGGGCGUAAAGGGCGCGUAGGCGGCCACCGCAAGUCGACUGUGAAAUCUCCGGGCUUAACCCGGAAAGGUCAGCCGAUACUGCGGGGCUAGAGUGCAGAAGGGGCAACUGGAAUUCUCGGUGUAGCGGUGAAAUGCGUAGAUAUCGAGAGGAACACCAGCGGCGAAGGCGGGUUGCUGGGCUGACACUGACGCUGAGGCGCGAAAGCGAGGGGAGCGAACGGG
rnacentral:rRNA from 1 species